rnacentral:rRNA from 1 species
AUUGAACGCUGGCGGCAGGCUUAACACAUGCAAGUCGAGCGAGCGGCGGACGGGUGAGUAAUGUCUGGGAAACUGCCUGAUGGAGGGGGAUAACUACGGGAAACGGUAGCUAAUACCGCAUACCAUCAGAUGUGCCCAGAUGGGAGUAGCGAGUAGGUGGGGUAAGGGCUCACCUAGGCGACGAUCCCUAGCUGGUCUGAGAGGAUGACCAACCACACUGUAACUUAGACACGGUCCAGACUCCUACGGGAGGCAGCAGUGGGGAAUCUUGCCCAAUGGACGCAAGCCUGAUACAGCCCUGCCGCGUGUGUGACGAGGGCCUUCGGGUUGUAAAGCACUUUCAGCGAGGAGGCGUUACUCGCAGAAGAAGCACCGGCUAACUCCGUGCCAGCGGCCGCGGUAAUUC